rnacentral:RNase_P_RNA from 2 species
GACAGUCCAAAGCCGCGAGGCUCGCACCGCACAGGACGCGUCUUUCCGUCCACGCUCGCGAGCGGGCUAAGGUCUGAGUACUCUAUUUCCACCCGGCUUCCAUUCCUUCAUCAUCCCCCACAGGCUCUAGCUGUGCCUGGCCGUAAUUGGCUGAGCGACGCACCAGAAACACGGCCCCACGAGUCGGAUACUGUCUGUGUCCCGCUCGUGUGCGGUUCGUUCUGCUUAGCCGAACGAAAAAGGUUGGCAGACGAUCGGUGGUCUCAGACCCAGCGUGGUCGAAGAUGAGACCAUUGCUGGCCAUGGAAUAUGUCCCUCUUAUCGGGCGGGCACGUCUACCUCCUCACGUUGGCGUCUCCUCUCUAUUGUAUCUCUCGGUGGUCUCGCUCAGAGAAUGCCACCAAGCAAGCAUUAAGAUCAUGAUCAUGACAUGUAUCCUGUUUGUUGUACCUGGGAGAUGGACGAGGAGAGUAGUUGCGACGACAACGCAAGUGCCCGUCCUUCAGUGCACUUCGCGGCCCGCAUAUUAGGUUGCUGACUCGUUCGGCCCUUCUGCGGAACUCGAUUCAGACUACUCUGGGCUGUC